rnacentral:snRNA from 1 species
AGCUUUGCACAGUGUGCAGUAUCGUAGCCAAUGAGGUUUAUCCAAGGGGCAAUUAUUGCUAACUGAGAACUUUUCCCAAUACCCCCCCGUGACGUCUUUUAAUAUGGCCAGCACUGGCAAUUUUUGACAGUCUCUACGGAGA